rnacentral:rRNA from 1 species
UGCUUGACACAUGCUAAUCGUACGUCUAAUUACAUUAGAAAUAAUUUAGUUAGAAGUGGUGUACAGGUGAGUAAAUGAUAUUAUGGCUACCUUGGAGUAAGGGACAUUAAAAUCCCUUAUAUUAUAAAAAAAUUUUUAUAUUAAAAGAAAUUUAUUUUCGCUCCUAGAUGGAAAUUAAUAUCUCGGACAGGUAGUAGUUAAGGUAAUGGCUAAACUAGCUUAUGUCCGUAGUCGAGACUGAGAGGUCGAUCGACCACAUUGGGUCUGAAAAAACCCCAAUACGUAUAGUACAGCAGUGAGGAAUAUUGGUCAAUGGCCUAACGGCUGAACCAGCAACUUGGGGGAAUGUAUAUAUAUUAGAGAUAAUAUAUAGUACCCGCUCUGUCGGAUAAAGUUCUAGAUAGAAUAAUGAUAAUGACAAUUUUCUAUCUAUAUGUCUUGACCAAAUCUUGUGCCAGCAGUCGCGGCAACACAAGGGAGACUAGUGUUAUUCAUCUUUAUUAGGUUAAAGGGUACCUAGACGGUAUAUCAAGCCCCAAAAGGGAACUGAUAUACUAGAGUUUAUGUGAGAGGCAAAUAUAGUACUAUUGGUGUAGAGAUAAAAUCAUUGAUACCUCUAGCACCGGUAACGGCGAAGCAAUCCUCUAUGUAAAAACUGACGUUGA